AUGUGCAAGUUUCCUAUUACAUAUAUACUGCAAGGUGCAAACAACUUGAUGCUCAUGCUUGCUGUUACAUUUAUACUGCAAGGUGCACCUGCAAUCAACAAAGACGAGCUUGCACAAGGUCAGAAAGGGAUUUCCAUUGCCAACUAUAAAAGAUUACAAGGUAAUAUCACUCCUAAUUCUACCACUAAAUCCUAUUCUAAGCCAUGGCGACUUGGGGCGACUAAUCAAGCCAAGUCGCUGACUCAAGCCAGCAAGCCACUAGCCACAGCCUCGGCGACUUGGCUUGACUCGGCGACUCAAAAAUAG
rnacentral:rRNA from 1 species